rnacentral:rRNA from 1 species
UAGGGAAUCUUCGGCAAUGGACGGAAGUCUGACCGAGCAACGCCGCGUGAGUGAAGAAGGUUUUCGGAUCGUAAAGCCCUGUUGUUAGAGAAGAACGUUGGUAGGAGUGGAAAAUCUACCAAGUGACGGUAACUAACCAGAAAGGGACGGCUAACUACGUGCCAGCAGCCGCGGUGAUACGUAGGUCCCGGGCGUUGUCCGGAUUUAUUGGGCGUAAAGCGAGCGCAGGCGGUUCUUUAAGUCUGAAGUUAAAGGCAGUGGCUUAACCAUUGUACGCUUUGGAAACUGGAGGACUUGAGUGCAGAAGGGGAGGGUGGAAUUCCAUGUGUAGCGAUGAAUUGCGUAGGUAUAUGGAGGUACACCGGUGGCGAAAGCGGCUCUCUGGUCUGUAUCUGACGCUGAGGCUCGAAAGCGUGGGGAGCAAACACG